rnacentral:rRNA from 1 species
GACGAACGCUGGCGGCGUGCUUAACACAUGCAAGUCGAACGGAAAGGCCCUGCUUUUGUGGGGUGCUCGAGUGGCGAACGGGUGAGUAACACGUGAGUAACCUGCCCUUGACUUUGGGAUAACUUCAGGAAACUGGGGCUAAUACCGGAUAGGAGCUCCUGCUGCAUGGUGGGGGUUGGAAAGUUUCGGCGGUUGGGGAUGGACUCGCGGCUUAUCAGCUUGUUGGUGGGGUAGUGGCUUACCAAGGCUUUGACGGGUAGCCGGCCUGAGAGGGCGACCGGCCACAAUGGGACUGAGAUACGGCCCAGACUCCUACGGGAGGCAGCAGUGGGGAAUAUUGCACAAUGGGCGGAAGCCUGAUGCAGCAACGCCGCGUGCGGGAUGACGGCCUUCGGGUUGUAAACCGCUUUCGCCUGUGACGAAGCGUGAGUGACGGUAAUGGGUAAAGAAGCACCGGCUAACUACGUG